CUGCAAUGAUGGUAUUUCUUACGACACCUUUGAAUUAUUUCCUGAAAACAGCUGGUAUCUGAGCAGC
rnacentral:snoRNA from 1 species